rnacentral:misc_RNA from 1 species
UGUAUUCGUCAAGUUUUGUUUUACCACUUUCGCGGACGGACUCGUCGCAAUGCCUUGACUAUUUGUGCCAAUCAUACCCAUUAAUUUCUCAAAGCCUCCGCGUUGGUGAACUAAAGGCAAACACUUGAAAAUAUGUUCAGCAAUUUUCGGGAACAUUACGCUUGCAGUAGUUAAUUGCUCGUCCGUUCGUCGUGUUGUUCAAGAUGUUUACCCAACUUUUUGUGAUAUAUAUAUUUUUUGGAUUGAAGUGACUGUAAAAACUGUUCUUUAUUUAUACUUGGUGUUGUUGAAUCGUAUUCUGGCAAAGGCACUACCAAUGCAGUGUAAUUGGCCAAGCGACGUACAUUUUAAACAACUACACAAAAAAAUUCGUGCACGUUCGUCAUCAGUAUCAUUUGCUA